rnacentral:lncRNA from 1 species
UUCAGUUCAGAGCGCUUUCACUCUCUGAAGUUUCAAUCGCGAGUUCUUCUAGUUCUAGUAAGUUUAAUUAACGGUUGAAGUUUUUUGAAUUUGAAGAAUUUCUAGGGUUUAGGUAAGAUUGUUUCAUAGAUAGAUUUCACCUUGGCUUUAAGAAAGAGAGUAAUGGAAAGUGCAGAUGUUGAGGAGUUCAUCUAUUCGACUAUUCUCUCCUUCUUCCUCUCUUAAUUGUUCAAGUAAGAUAAGAAUAAGUUUCAUCACACUUGUUAUUUUCUGAUCAUCGUUUACUUAUACUUUCGAACAAACUAUGUUAUUGUUUAUACUUUAUAGGUUUUUAGAGUAAUCUGUGGUAUAAUCAACUAAUUAGGAUACUUAAAUCACUUUUCCCCCCUUCUAAACCCUAUUAUUUACUGUUGUGGUGCUUUGAUUAAUUGCUUGAUUGCAAGAAAUUUAUGUUACAUAUAAGAUUCAAUGUGUUUUUACAUUAUUGUUAAUAUUGCUUAUAUCAAUCAUGUACAGUAAAGAAUGUUGUUGUGAUUAUGGCAUUAUGCUAUACCGUAGAAGGGAGUCGACCUGCAAUCAACCUUAAAGUUGGAAGUAGAUGUGUAAGAGGAGG